CCUACGGGUGGCAGCAGUGGGGGAUAUUGCACAAUGGGGGGAACCCUGAUGCAGCGACGCCGCGUGGGUGAAGAAGCGCCUCGGCGCGUAAAGCCCUGUCAGCAGGGAAGAAAAUGACGGUACCUGAAGAAGAAGCCCCGGCUAACUACGUGCCAGCAGCCGCGGUAAUACGCAGGGGGCAAGCGUUAUCCGGAUUUACUGGGUGUAAAGGGGGCGCAGGGGGGGAGGAAAGCCAGGAGGGAAAGCCCUGGUCCCAACCCCGGGACUGCCCUUGUAACUGCGUGGCUGGAGUGCAGGAGGGGCAGGCGGAAGUCCUGGUGUAGCGGUGAAAUGCGUAGAUAUCAGGAGGAACACCGGUGGCGAAGGCGGCCUGCUGGACUGCAACUGACGUUGAGGCCCGAAAGCGUGGGGAGCAAACAGGAUUAGAUACCCUGGUAGUC
rnacentral:rRNA from 1 species